AACGAACGCUGGCGGCAGGCUUAACACAUGCAAGUCGAGCGCCCCGCAAGGGGAGCGGCAGACGGGUGAGUAACGCGUGGGAAUCUACCCAUCCCUACGGAAUAACGCAGGGAAACGUGUGCUAAUACCGUAUACGUCCUUCGGGAGAAAGAUUUAUCGGAGAUGGAUGAGCCCGCGUUGGAUUAGCUAGUUGGUGGGGUACAGGCCUACCAAGGCGACGACCCAUAGCUGGUCUGAGAGGAUGAUCAGCCCCACUGGGACUGAGACACGGCCCAGGCUCCUACGGGAGGCAGCAGUGGGGAAUAUUGGACAAUGGGCGCAAGCCUGAUCCAGCCAUGCCGCGUGAGUGAUGAAGGCCCUAGGGUUGUAAAGCUCUUUCACCGGUGAAGAUAAUGACGGUAACCGGAGAAGAAGCCCCGGCUAACUUCGUGCCAGCCGCCGCCGUAAUAC
rnacentral:rRNA from 1 species